CAUUGACGUGAUGAUAUGUUUAUCGGAAUUUCCAUCGUGUCGACUAAAUUACAGACUACAAUUAUCUGAUCAAUG